rnacentral:tRNA from 1 species
GGGCCCGUCGUCUAGCUUGGACUAGGAUGCGGGGUUCGGGACCUGUUGGAGAAGCCGCUGAAGGCGGAACUCCCCGUGACCCGGGGUUCAAAUCCCCGCGGGCCCA